rnacentral:rRNA from 1 species
UACGUAGGGUGCGAGCGUUGUCCGGAAUUAUUGGGCGUAAAGGGCUCGUAGGCGGUCUGUCGCGUCGGGCGUGAAAACUCAGGGCUUAACCCUGAGCCUGCUUCCGAUACGGGCAGACUAGAGGUAUGCAGGGGAGAACGGAAUUCCUGGUGUAGCGGUGGAAUGCGCAGAUAUCAGGAGAAACACCGGUGGCGAAGGCGGUUCUCUGGGCAUUACCUGACGCUGAGGAGCGAAAGUGUGGGGAGCGAACAGG